rnacentral:lncRNA from 1 species
AAAUUUUAUUGGUAUUGGGUAUUGUAUUAGUGGCAUAAUGUAUAUUUAAUUUUAUUGGUAUUGUUAUUAGCGGCAUAAUGUUAAAAUUAAAAAAAAAAGUAUAGAGCAUAAUGCUGAUUAAAAUUGGAUGUUAGGCUAAAGGGAGAACACUGAAAGUUGGUUGUUUACAAAUACUGGCAUAUUUUUCACCUUAGAUUUGGCAUUACAGGAUGCUUGUAUUACUUUUCAGGAAGGGAGAUAACUUCUAUCAAUUAUAAUAACAAAGCUAAUACAGAAUUAAGAAAAUUACUUUGUAAAAAGAGCUUUUUAGAAAAUAGUGUAAUAAAUAAUAUCUUUUAAUAUAUUAUCAAAGACAUUUUAAAGCUUUAUUUAAUUCACUAACUAAUUUUAUUUUGGAAUUAUAUUUUUCAUAUUCUUAAUUAGAAAUUAUCCGCUUUUUCAGUUAAGUAUUGAAAUAUAAAUUUAAAAUUUUAAUACUUAUUCAACUAGUGGAGUGCUCCAAUAAAACCGAGGUAUAUAGAGAAGAGAACAGAAUAAAGAAAAUGCAAAUGUUAUAUAAGAUCUUGCUAUUAAAAACAUAAAUUAAGGUAUAACAUCUGCAUAUCUUUCCUCAUAUAGAAAAUUCUUAUAAAUUGCCAAAAUGCAGAUUUACCAAUGCUUUUUUCAAAAUUAUAAUUUAAAGUAUGGGUACAAGUUGUGCAAAACUGCUCCAAAUUGUAUAGAUUAUUCAUGAAAAACACUUUUUUGUGAACAUAUGAAAUCUAUAAGAAAAGAAAAAGAAAAAAUUGUGUCACCGAACUUGUUUUCUUACUAAUAUUAAAAUUGUUUAUCAUUCCUUCAAUAAAAAAAUAUACUAUUUAAGUUAUCUCCCCUUAAAUGGCUAGAUUGAAAACUUGAUUUGAACAAACAUAAAUAUAUGAUACAUGUGUUUGUUAAAACAGUCUGAAUAAUGUAUAAAUCAAUUGUUUUCUUUUUGAAAUAAACAGUCUCACACAUUCAUCGCCAAUUGUAUCAAUAUUUACAGAUUUAUACAUAAUAGGUUAUAAUGUUCUAAUGUUCUAAUUGAAGUAUUUUGCAUUUGUUCUUAUCAUAUAUAUCCUGUCUCUUUUACUCUACCUAUAUUUUGCGCAAAGGUUGGCUUUCUCCUUCUACAGAUUGUUAUUUUAAGUUUGCAUUAGGCUAUUAAAGUAUAGUAUGGUAACAGUGUUCAAAAUAAGUACCCUUAAGAUUAAAUCAAGUUUAUGGUGUUUGUAAUUGAAAGUCUGAUGUUUUGUCAAUUGAAAGGACAAUGAAAUAGAAGAUGGUAUUUAUAAACCUUAUGUAUUUUUUUCAAGAUUUGUAGCAUUGCAAAGAGUGAGAAAAUCAUUUCUUAUGACUGGUCAAGAAAGGUUGUAAUUUUACCACUUAUUUUGAACAUUUCUUUACUGAGCCAUCUACAUGUUUAAAGCUUAUUUACUUUUUAUCAACACUGCUUUUUGGUAUUGGUGUAAUAUUUUAUAUACAUAUCGCCCUUAGUGUUUUAUUAAUACCCGGUAGUGUUGGGGUUAUACUGUAUGUACAUAUGUGUGAUCCUAUAAAUAGAUUUUACAAAUAUUUACUCAUGUUAAUUGUGUUCAGUUGUUUUGCUUAAAUAAAAAUAGUGCCUUCAAAGUUAUUAUUUAUUUUUUUGUCAAAGGAGCUUACUUUAAAAAAAAACAAGAUGUAUCAAAACGACACGAACGUCCCGUUCCC